GCCAAUAUGUUGCCUUUAUCUGCAUUUGCACCUGCACUUUACCUGGAUCUGUAACAUACAAAAUUGUUUUAUAUAUAAAAAAAAAUUAUAUUACAAUUUAUGAGGGACCCCAGGCAAGGUGCAGAUGUAUAUGCAGGUGAAUGCCAUGUUGGU
rnacentral:pre_miRNA from 1 species